UACGUAGGGUGCAAGCGUUAAUCGGAAUUACUGGGCGGAAAGCGUGCGCAGGCGGUUUUGUAAGUUUGUCGUGAAAGCCCCGGGCUCAACCUGGGAAUGGCGAUGAAGACUGCAAGGCUUGAAUCUGGCAGAGGGGGGUAGAAUUCCACGUGUAGCAGUGAAAUGCGUAGAGAUGUGGAGGAACACCGAUGGCGAAGGCAGCCCCCUGGGUCAAGAUUGACGCUCAUGCACGAAAGCGUGGGGAGCGAACAGG
rnacentral:rRNA from 1 species